UUUCAAAUAUACUUUAACAUCUCAAAUAAAAUGUACAAAACAAACUGAACAAAAAAAAGUAAGUUUCUGUUAAAUAAAAAUAAUACAUUGGCGAAUAAAAAUCCAAGAGUUUACUGUGGUUUCAUUAUUAUUCAUGGGAGACUAAUUUUCGUAAUUAUCAUUGAUAUGCUUAUAUUUAUAAAUUAACUGUUUACAAAAUUUUGAUUUUUUGAAAUAUAAGCUUUACUCAGCAAAUUCUAGCUGAUUUGGCAAAACUUUUAGGAAUUUUGGUCCUCAACGCUCUUCAACUUUGUACUUUAUUUGGCCUUUUUAAAUUUUUUGGAUUCGAGCCUCACUGAUGAGUAUUUUGUAGACGAAACGCGCGUCUGGCGUAUAUACAAAAUUUAGUCCUUGUAUCUACGAUGAGUUUAUUUCGUGGAUUUCAUUUGAACCAUGAAUUUAAAUAUUCAACCAAGUAGAGAUUUGCUUUUGGGUUACAUGCAAACUUGGACAAAACUACAGAAUCAAUUUCCACAAAAUUGCAAGAUUCCUUAAUCCACAAAAAUUGGUAUCCACGAAAAUAACUGAAUCCACAGUAUGUAAAAUUAUCUACUUUUCUUGUUCUAAAACUCAUUAAAUUAUAAAGGAGCUUGAUGAUAAUAUUAUGACCUACCAUCUACUAGCCAUAUAAAUUCUAUAUUUAGCAACGUAACUAAAUUUGAGUAUUGCACCUACCCCAAGUAACAUAAAUCUGACAAUGAUAUUAUGCUGAACUCAAUACUAUUUACAUCAGAUCCCUAUGUAACCAUGGUAACAAUCAGAUCAACUGCUUCAAUGUUUAUGGUUUGUUGGUGAAAAAUACACAGAAUUUUUCUGCAAUUACAUUUAAUCCUUGUGCUUUUAAUAACAGCCUUUAAUAGAAAAACAUUCGAAAGAGACAAUAUUGAAUAAAUAAACUGAUUUUUGUCAAUUCUACAGUAUGUUUGAAUUUUAUGCCAUUUAAAAGAUACUUUAAAUAAAGAAAGUGCCAAACUGCAAAAACCAAAUCCUGUUAAUUCUUUGUGUCAACAUUUGUAAUCCGACUAGUCUGAUUUAUUGACAACUGUGAUUUUUGUUUUUUAAAACUAUCCAAAAUUACUCUUGAAAUAAGUCUACUUUUAUUUUUCAUAUUACUACAUUUUUGAUGUUCAUGAUAUCUUGGUCCAAUCUUGGAAUGCCUGAAAUAAUAUUGAAUUUUAACAAUUUCUAAUAUUUCAUAUUUAUGAAAACCUCUCUUUAAACAUUAUGUAAAUUUAAUUUUGAUCUGAAACAAUGACAACUGUAAGAUUUACAAGUGGAUCAAUCAAUUCCCUUCAUUCAAUGAAGACAGUAUUUGACCAAUCAAUUCCCUUCACUCAAUGAAGACAGACAGUAUUUAACCAAUCAAAUCUCUCGACUCAAUGAAGACAGACAGUUUUAUGAAUCAAUGACUAGUUUAGCACUGCACCAUUGUAUGGAUUUCAUUGUGUGAUGUCAGAUUUAUUUUACCCAGGUUUUCGUCACAAAUAUUCACUCAUUUAGUUCUUAUAUUAUAAUAAGUAAUAAAAUUGUGAAUAUAUGAGUGACCAUUAUCUACAUACAUUUUUACAUAACAAAAAUACACAAUAUAUAUAAAUAACAUUCACUUUUUAUCUUUUUUUU
rnacentral:lncRNA from 1 species